UCUACCUCCGUGACUGUGCGACGGGCACAGUCUCGUUGAAUGCUACGGUUACAUCUCUGGAUCCUUCGAUAGCCCAUGAACCCUUCUGUGGACGCGGUCUGGAGCCUUACUCCUCUGGUCCCCGUGCUGCUCAUCGCUACGCUGCCCCGAACCACAGGUAGCCCAACUUGGGACGCCCAAAAGGUGUGCCGAAGUAUGCAGUUGCGCAGGAGCAGGGAAUUGGAAACGUGUGCCCACAGAGGCUAAAGCCGUCCGUCUUGCGUGCGUGAUUGACGAAGCACUUAUAGAACACCCGGAAAAGUUUUUAAAGGAGUAUGAGGCAGAUGCACG